AACGAACGUUGGCGGCGUGGAUUAGGCAUGCAAGUCGAACGAAUCCCACCUUUGUAGCAAUACCGAGGUGGGGGAAGUGGCGAAAGGGGCAGUAAUGUGUGGGUAACCUACCCUGGGGACUGGGAUAGCCUUCCUAACGGAAGGGUAAUACCGGGCAAUGUAGCUGGAAGGCAUCUUUUGGCUACCAGAUGAAUUUCGCCCUGGGAGGGGCUCACAUCGUAUUAGCUAGUUGGUGAGGUAAUGGCUCACCAAGGCAAAGAUGCGUAGCGGGUGUGAGAGCACGACCCGCGCCACUGGCACUGAGACACUGGCCAGACACCUACGGGUGGCUGCAGUCGAGGAUCUUCGGCAAUGGGCGCAAGCCUGACCGAGCGACGCCGCGUGUGCGAUGAAGGCCUUCGGGUUGUAAAGCACUGUCGAGGGGGAUCAAGGCGCAAGCUUGAGAGAUCCCUGGAGGAAGCACGGGCUAAGUUCGUGCCAGCAGCCGCAGUAAAAC
rnacentral:rRNA from 1 species